rfam:Pan troglodytes isolate Yerkes chimp pedigree #C0471 (Clint) chromosome X, whole genome shotgun sequence.
AUCAGCUGGGAAUCUUAUUAAAAUGCAGAUUCUGAUUCAGGAGGUCUGGAGUGAGGCCUGAGAUUCUGCAUUUCUAACUAUCUCCCAAGUGAUGCUGA